AAAUUACUUUUUUUCCCAACACAAAACAUCCCUUGCUCAAAAUUCUGAAAUCUCUAUCGCGCGCGAUGUCAUGACAGACUUUGUGUGGUAGGGUUUUCACCUCCAUCAGCAAACAGACUAUUCUCCGGCGGAUCUCUGGAUCGAAAUCCUCAUCAAAUUGCCGGUCAAAUCCCUCAUCACAAACCCCAAUUUUAGUUUCGUAGCCUCUCCAAUGCAAAUCUCUCCAUCACAAGCACGAGCACUAUCAUGUGCUCGAAUUCGCCGCUAGUUAUGGAGCCUUCGACAUCAGUUCCUGCUCAGAGCUCGAAUUCUCGUUGAAAUCCCAAAUUGGAUAUUUCAGGAACGUGGGCUCACCACUCCUGCGACGGCCUCGUCUGCUUAACCGACGAUUUCUUCAUGUGUCCUUCGUGUUCUAUGGAACCCUUCCGUUAGAAAUUGUGUGACCUUGCCGCAGGCCAUCACCAAUCCAAAGGGGCCCCUAUAUCGUCGUGUUAGGGUUUAGAGUUGCGAACGGUGUGUACAAGGUUGUGUGCCUCGUCUACUGCUGAAAGCCCGACGACUACGACUUCAACGUCCUGUCGCAGGCCGAGAUAUUCUCGCUCGGAACGGGGAGGUGGAGAAAGGAAAUUCUGGAUAGUAUAUUUUCGUGAAAGCUGUAAUGCUGCUACUGCUUUGUGGGCAACAAAUCAGUUUAAGGUUGCGUUGCUAGUGAAAAGGAUCUCCAAGAGUCGUAGGGUGACAUUGGCUCUGAUAUCCCCUUCUUCUUCUCUCAUGGUGUUGCAUAUUGUACAGUACAGGUAAAUGUGAGGAUAUAUGGUGAAGGCAAUGAAGACAAUAUUGGACAUAUUGAAUGAUGCAUCACAUUUUGAAGGAAAGAAGGAACAACAAGUGUUGAUUCAUUUGAAAUAUUGUUAGGAUUACUUAUUUUGUAAUGGAUACGGUAGAAUUGGUUGGAUUGAACUUGAGUUGUAAUGACCAUUGGAGUUGUAAUAAAUGAUUAUGUUAUACAGUUGUAGUAAUGAUUGUGUCAUGUUUUUAAAUAAAUAUUUAAUUUUAAAAAAUAAA